AAAAUAGAGGAGAAAUCAUUCUCAUUCAUCUUUUUAUAUUUUAUCAAAACACGUGAAAGGAUGGAUGGAUGUUCUAUCCAUCUUCUCCCUCAUCCAUCCUUUCUCUUUUAUAUAUCACCCCUCCAAUCCAUCCUUGGUAUAAAACAAAGGAUUAGUUCUGUUGAACACUUUCGUCACAUAGCUUCAAGUAAUUUUUAGUUCAAAGUGGCAGUACACGACUAAUUAUACAUCAACAACAUAUUUUUAAGUGUUAUACAGAUAUUGUUUAUUAUGAGAAGCUCAUAUUACAAGGAACAGCAUGGAGUAUCAUUGGGAUAUCACAAUCUUAACCUUUAUCUGAUUUAAAAUAACAAAUUUCUGUUGUUACCAUUUUGAAUUUGUAGAAUGAUUCUCCAGAUCUUUAUAAAGAAAGAACAGAAGUUAAUAGGGAAGAGUUUGACUGUCCGAAGUAGAAACCAAGGUCCGCAAGAUGGUUGUAUACAUUUAGUACAGUGAAACAUGGUACAAUUCCUUUGUGUUAUGAAUUGGCCUUUGUCUGUAUAUACUGAAACAUAUGACAUGAUAUGAUAUGAGCUGCACACAUAAUGUAGAGAAAUACAAAUUCUUGUACUAUAUUCUGACCUGUUGACAUGGAAUGCAUUAAUUGUGGAAAAGGGUUUUCUUUGUAAAGAUGUUUUCUUCUUCCUUGAUUGCGACAUGAUCUGUGGGCUAUGUUGGUGGAGAAUGUAUUAUUCGUUGGAUAAUUCUUAAUGCUUUUAGCAGAGAUCCAAGGUUUGGCAGAUGAGUAUGAGCCAUGAACAUGGUAACAACACUAAAUUGGUUCCCUUGCUAAGUUGAUGAUCUGUGAAAAUUUUCAACAGACCAUGAUUUUGUCAUACUCAUAUCCUCCUUAUUAGCUAACAUAAGAUUACGAACCCAAAUUCCUGGUAGCAUCACUGUCUGUGCUCUCAUUGAUGGUGCUUAAUUGCAAUUACUC
rnacentral:lncRNA from 1 species